UGAUCUGUCAGGGGCAUGCUAAGCCAGAAUUUAUCUUGGUUUCAGUAGUGCUUUAAACAAAACUCAUGAUACCCUUGUGUUCAAGACAGAAGAAGAGUGGGCCAAAUUAAAUAUUUAGAUGCAGUCAUUCUUAACCUCUGUUGCUCUCCCAGUGGUCUAGCUGGGGUUUGUAUAAAGUGGAAUGGGAGGAACAGGGAAGGAGCCCCCACCUACCCUCUCCCCUUGUCCACUUGUCCUCCUUGACUAGUGGAUAAAGUCCACGGGAACAGGCAAGUUAUUUUCAAUCUGUAUCUUCUGUU
rnacentral:lncRNA from 10 species